rnacentral:lncRNA from 1 species
CAACGGGCAAGUUCUGAAUCAGGUAAACAUUGGUACCACUAAAAAAUUUGAAAUUAAUUCUGUUCAUCACCAAAUAUAUCCAUAAAAUUUGCAGGUAAGAGAAUAUGAAUUUGUACUCUCUUGCUUUAUUUAAAGAUUGAGUUGUUUGAUUAUGUAAAUAAUUAACAGCUGUUGCUCUCAGGUUUAUAUUAAAUUAGUCGAUAAGUGAGCUAGUGUAAGAAUGUAAACAUUUUUACUCCCUUAAAUCUCCCUUUUUUUUCCCUUAUCUUAUUGUUGAACCCAAUUAAUCAGUUGAGCUUGUCGUGCAUGCAAAAAUUUCAAAUUUUCAAGCUCUAUUUAUUUACGUAUUAGUUAAGGAAAGAGCUGUAGACUAACUACUUUGAUGUGCCAAUCUGACCUGGACUAUGUUUUUAAUUUCUCAAAUUUUAGGAAUUAAUCUAGUCUGCUUCCAAGUUUCUUUUCUCUAUUUAUUUAUAUUUUUUUCCCAGUAUCUGUUUCAAAAAUCACAGAAUUUUUGUAUUUUGGUAAGCUUUUAUAACAUUCUCUCAGUCGUAACUGUCACCGAACCUUCUCAUUGCACCACGUUUCAUUUUGGCAAUUGUCAUCCUUAUAUCCUAAUUAAGAAAUCAUAGCCAAAAUUUGCACUUACUCCUGUAUUUUGAAUUACCUUUGCUGAAGCAUUUUAUCUCCCAAGAAUGAUCAUAUUUUCACUAAAGAUUGUUUGAAUCAACCCAUCCAUGUCUUUUUAAAAUCAUUGUUUGUAGUAUUGUCUGGCUAAGCUUUAAAAAAAGUCACACUUAUUCUUAAGUGACUUUUUCUCCAAAUUUGGUUGAAUGACUUUUUUUCUUACCGAACUAAAUCAUUACUUAUUUGAAAGUAACUCUUACUUUGCUAUCAAUAUAAGUAGUGUAUUUCCACUGUGAUCAGUAAAAAAAUUAUUUACUUUAUAAACUGACUUAUAAAGUAAAUAUUUUAAGCCUAGACUCACAUCAGUCACAUGCAUGUGGAGAAUAAGUGCUAAUAAUUCUUUUCCUGAAAAAGUCACCUAUUCUUGAGCAGUUUAAGUUCUACAAGCUCGUAUUAUAAACCUAAAUCAAUGACUACCUCUUCUAUGCAAGGCUAUGGUAUGGGUUCUCUGUUUACCCCAACUUCACUACACUUGGAUUUCUGUACAAUGCUUCAUUAGUAGGGGUAUUUCAACUUAUAGCAAACCUCCUUUAAUCAGUCUUGGGAUCAAACAUAGGUGGAGUUGUUAAUUACCGUAAACUUGAAAACUAAUUUUAAACCGUAGUUAAAAUUAAAAGCACAUAAUUAAUAUGCUCCUUGGUGAGUUGGUACUUAUAUAGAGGAAAAAUUGAUCUUCAUCCCAAACUUAUAAGUAAGUAGUCAACCAAAUCGAUAUAGUCCAUGGUACAGUAGACAGUCGAUUUUGUCCCCCAGAAAAUGGUCAUACUCAUACAUGGAUUUGGGAGGGCAUUAUUUACUGAUUUUGACUAGGAGAUUUUAAUGCAUUCUUUGAUUGAAAUAUCGAAGUGUCCAAAAUCAUCAUUAUAUUAGGGAAUUGAAAUUUCUGCCUUAAAACUUGUAGAAUGAUGUCCCUGAGAUGCUUGGGAUUAUCUCGUAGUCUUUAUUUGAACCUUUCUGCAUUAUCGACGUGCAUGUUGGAUAAUUUUGGGAUUGUAUGCUUACUAAUUGCUCUGAUGCCUCGACUUCAGAUUCUGUUGUAAUUGUUGCGCUCUCCAGAUUUGAGAUGGGCAUCAAAUACAUACAAUUUAGGCUACUGCUUGGUGAGGAAAUUUACACCAUUUUGCUUCCUAACUGGCCAAGUAUUAACUGGAAUAUAUAAUAACUUGCACAUUUCAUUCUACAGAAAUAAUGGACUUGGUUUCUUAUAUGGAUAGCAUGAGGCGCUCGUUGUCUACAAGGUUGGGACAAUUAGCAUCAUCAGCUGGCAAUCUUAUUAGGAAUUUGUUCCCUCUUUUCACAGCACCUUAAUAGCCUGUUCAUUAGUUAUGAAUUUGCUUCCCUAAUAAGAAUUUGGGAAAUUUUGUCCCUGAAGCGUAGAUCAUAAGUGUUUGGGGCAAAUAUAGUUAAAGGUAGCAAUUCAAAGAUUGGAGUAGUUUUGAGGGGAAACAUUCCUCGGUGCCCCGUGUGUUUAUUUAUGGAAUGUCUGAGGAUGCUCAAGCAUAUGUAUUGCUGUAUGCCUGGGAAAACUGCAGGUUAUAAUACGAUAAACAUUGAUGAUGUAAAGAAGGCUAUUGAAUUGACUGAACUAUUAAUAGAC